rnacentral:rRNA from 1 species
UACGUAGGGGGCAAGCGUUGUCCGGAAUCAUUGGGCGUAAAGCGCGCGUAGGCGGCCCGAUAAGUCCGCUGUAAAAGUCAACGGCUCAACUGUUGAACGCCGGUGGAUACUGUCGGGCUAGAGUCCGGAAGAGGAGAGUGGAAUUCCUGGUGUAGCGGUGAAAUGCGCAGAUAUCAGGAAGAACACCCGUGGCGAAGGCGGCUCUCUGGGACGGUACUGACGCUGAGACGCGAAAGCGUGGGGAGCGAACAGG